rnacentral:lncRNA from 1 species
UCUGCAACCUCCCAAAAUUCUAAAAAUUCCAAAUUCCCUAAAAAAUAAUGGAAGUCCAAAAAAAAUAUUUUUUGCUGUUGCACGAAGUUAGAUGUCGCGAUUUAUUGUCACGUGAAAAUGCACCUUAAGCCUCCUCGAUCAAACGAGCCGUGUACACAUUGUGCCCUGCACAUGAAGUUUCACGUGUGUGCGUGCGGAGAGCAAUCGCGUGUUAAGUAGAUUCGGGGAAGAAUGCGUUUACGCGUCUCGUUCGAGAAUUAAACUCGCUCGGUUCUUUACAAGAUUUCCGUCGAGCACGCAACGGGGUUAGAGCUACGAACGCUGGCAUUUAUCGAUGCACGAAAAGUAUGCGUCUCGUUGCACCACCCCGCUCGCUCGAUUUGCAAUCUCGUUUCCUUCCUUCUUUUUCUCCUUUUUUCCCCUUCGUACGAGACUGAUGGCCCCUUCGUACGCGGAGCACUUAAGAAGAAAACGUAGUUUCGAAUUCACGAAACUUUUAAUCCCCUUUUUCUCUCUCUUUCGCUGACGCAUCAGUCUUCAUUUGCGGGACUCGUCUCGCAAAUUUGCCAUACGGACACUUGUACGUUAUACGUACGCUAAUACUCAUCGUUUAAGUAUGGACCGUUUACGGAAUUUUUCGGGAUUUUAAUGCAUACUGUAAUUGUAACUGAUUAUCGAUAAUUGACAGCAGUAAUCAUUCAAUGAAUGAUUAUUUUGAUUAGCGUUAAAUAUGCACUGAUAUUUGAAAUAAAGUAGCAAUUCGAUAUAAUACGUAACGCGUUAAUUCGAUAUUAAUUAGAAGCGCAAUCAUCUGGUAAUUAAUAAUUGAUUAUCGGAUUAAUCAUGCUCUUUGAUUGCGACUCCGAUUACUUCCCUUGUUCAUUAGCCGCGGAUUACAGAGAUCGAUAAUCGCUUGAUCAUAGUCAUUAUCUAUUAAUCCGAGUUCACUUGCACCCCGAAAAAUUAACCUGUAUUAAUUUUGACCUUUGAUCAAUUAAUUUGCACUUGAGAAUUGUUAACCUCUCCUACCCUUUCAUUAAUCAGAAUCAAAUUGAAUUUUAAUACUCCAUGAAAUUAAUUGAUCAAAGGAGUAAUUCGUCUGCACUUGCUAAUUGUAAGUGAUUAACGAGAUUACAUUUAUCCCCUGUAAAUAUAAAACGUGUCUUAGUAAUUUAGCCAAGUGAACCGUUCGUUAUCCACCUUUGACGAAAUGAUCUUUGACAUUUCUCGAAUGCCUCGAAACUCUCGGAGAAUCCGUAUCCAGGUCCGCCCCUGCGUUAGCGUGUAACGAAAGUAUUGAAUCGUGAUAAGAUUGCGAGGAAUCAAGUGGAUGUUAAUGCGUCCGUUGCGCAAGGUUCAGAUUCUUAAGGUCAUAGUUCUCUCGCUCAAAGACGAGCUUAUGCAAGUGAAAAGGAGAACACCGUCGACGACGGAACUCGACGGAACGUUAUGUGUGUGUGUAUGACGGAGAGACGUUCUCCGCUCUGUUUCCGCGAUAUUAUUACGUUUUAUGUACGUCUCAUGAAUUGCGUGUUAUUUUUGUUACGACUAUGAAUUGAGAGGUUGGACGAUGCGAGUUGUCGAAUGAUCUGUACACGAGAUAUCGUGAAUAAUUUAUUUUGUUCUUUUUUGCAAUAUAAAUAUACGUUUUGUAAGUGUUGCGUUGAACAGA